rnacentral:rRNA from 1 species
ACCUACGGGGGGCAGCAGUGGGGAAUAUUGCACAAUGGGGGAGACCCUGAUGCAGCAACGCCGCGUGAAGGAAGACGGUUUUCGGAUUGUAAACUUCUGUUCUUAGUGAAGAAGAAUGACGGUAGCUAAGGAGCAAGCCACGGCUAACUACGUGCCAGCAGCCGCGGUAAUACGUAGGUGGCAAGCGUUGUCCGGAAUUACUGGGUGUAAAGGGGGCGCAGACGGCGAUGCAAGCCAGGAGUGAAAGCCCGGGGCCCAACCCCGGGACUGCUCCUGGAACUGCGUGGCUGGAGUGCAGGAGGGGC